rnacentral:tRNA from 1 species
GCUCGAAUGAUGGAAUAGGUAGACAUAAAAGACUUAAAAUCUUUUGAACUUUUAGUUCGUGUGGGUUCAAAUCCCACUUCGGGUA